rnacentral:lncRNA from 1 species
UAUUCAUUUGUAUAGAUAAUUUCUAAUGGACAAUUCAGUGAUUUAUCCAGUGACAGAAAUUAGAGAAGGAUUUUUUUUUCUCUUGUUUUAAUAUGGUACAGCAUUUUUAAAAGAGAGGAAAUGACUACAACUCAGACUUUCCCCUUUCAUUUCAAUAAGGUUUCUGGCCAACAUCAUAUCCAAAAAGGAGACUCCACAGCACAAUGCUUUUCACUCCAGAAUAACGUCUUGUUCUAAUAUCCUAAAUUUCCUAAUUUCAUCCACAUGGUUUCCUUCAUUACAUAAAGUCAAAUUUAAAAGUGGAAGACUGAUCUGAAAUUCAUCUAUUUGCUCAAAGGCUGUGCUGUGCUGUGCUCUGCAGUGUGCCAGGCAUUCCACACAGAACUUUGGAAGUUUCAGAUCUAUGCUAGAGUAUUGCAUAUCUCCCUGUCACUUGUUUAUAAGGUUGCAUUAGAAAGAACAGUCUGACCUCAGUUCAGAAAUCAGCAGAGUGUCUGGAAACAAAGAAUGAGUAGGCUCAGAAUAAAUAGACACAGAACUUGAAAAGAAUACUGGAAACAAACAGGCAUUGUGGCCACUGCAAUCAAUUACUUAGAGCUGUUGAUUUCUACCACACCAUUUAACCAAACACAAUGCAAUGUUUAGUCCUCUUCACCACAAAACUGUGAGGCAAUCUGCUUAAGGAUAGAUAGUAUUAUAUCAUAUCUGUCAGUCAGUCACUGAAUAAAUGACCUGUGACACUUUGCGGAUAGGAAGAAUUUACUUCUUUGUUAUUACUGCUUGCUCCAUCUUUAGCACAACAAAUGCAUUUUCUACAAUGCUAUGAAGAUAAAUGAAGUUUCUUCAAUGCAUGACCCUCUUAUUGUCCUAAUACUAGAUUUCAGAAAGGUUUUGUAAACUUAAGUGAAAAAAAACUUUGAUGGUUGGUACUAAGCUCUCUGAAACAUAUUUACAUUAAACAUAAGGAAGGGGGAAGAGAAAUGGGAUUAUGGGCUGUACAAAGAAGGCCAGACUGCAGAGCAUCAAAACAGAAUACUAUAAUGAAGUUUGUCAAUGAUGUAUCUGGAUCUUUGCUAUUGCUUUUCUUCAGCCACGACACACUCUCUGUAAAACUAGACCACUUACUUACAGAAAGCUGAUCUACAAUGAUUCCAUGGUGCAGUCCUGGAAUGUAUAAAUCGUGACAUCCUCCAUGAACUAAGUCAAUUACUAUUAAUUUUAUUUAAAAAUAUAAUUCUCACUUUUUUAUGUUUGAGUAAUCAGUCAUAAUUAUGAUUAAGUAUUUUCAAAGAUUCACUUUUGUUAUAAAAAAACUUUAGAGUUGGAAGGGAGCUUAAAAUACAUCUAAACAACUCCAUUAUCCUACAGAUAAAGUUUGGCCAAGAAAAACUGAGAUCACACAACUUGUAAGUCAAGGCAACAAAACUCAAAGUUAGAUCUGACUAGUUCAGCUUAUCGUUCAUGCCAAGGCAUAGCUUACUAAUAGUUAUCUAAUGGAUUGGCUACCUUGACAGUUUUUAAACAUAUGGCAUAAACUACUUGUGCCAGGAUAUAAUACCUAUGUUAUACCACAUAGCAUCUAAAUCAAAAUUUUAUCAAUAUUACUUAGAAGGGUCUGUGUGUAGAAACUGAUUGACAACAAAACAUUUCAUAGAUAUGUUGGACCACCUCCCUUCUCAAGGGUAGUCUUGAAAAAGAUGAAAAUUUUUUCCUAACUAGAACAUAUCAAAUUUUACUCUGGCUGAGUGAGAGGAUAACUAGAGGCAGGAUAUAAAAUAAUGUCUGAGGAGUGUGUAAAGCCAGCUACAUAAUUUGCACUGCCUAGUGCAAAAUGAAAAUUUGGGGCCCCUUGCUUAGUACCUUGUUAUUAAAGAUACAAAAUGCAAAGUUUUUUCUUUAAAGUAUUUUAUUACUAAACAUAAUUCUAAACACAGUAGGGACACUAGUGCCGCAUGAAAUAUAAUACUAAUUUUUAAAUUGUAAAAAAAAUUGUGUUAUAAUUCUAAAUAAUAACAAAUAAUAAUUUUUACUGUAGCAUUGUGAAUCUAGAAUUUUUAUCUCAUUCUUUUGCAAUUCAUUUACUAGAUCAUAAAAAUUUAUAUUUAUUGCAACUUUAUUUAUAAUAGAUAUAACUGAAAGCAUCAGUCAUUGCAAGAUCAUGAAAAAUUUUGAUAAUUUUUAAUUUUGAGAAGGAUAUUCCUGAUGCAAAUGUUCCUGGAACUGAUAAGAAUGUUUUGUUGGCUGUGAUAACAUUGGGAUAAAUUUCUAAUAAAUUAUUUCAACUAUAAUAUUUAGUACAUCUGGAUCUGCUGUUUCUCAAGGAACAUUUUUCUAAAAAGAUUUACAAAUCAGUUUCUUGGAAGUCUGAAUUUAAUUUAAAUGUAAAUUUAUAUAAUAACAUUUUAGUGUUUCCUAUAACAUUUCCUGUAACUUGGGGAGGUCACAGAAGAAAUAAAGCAACUUUACAAUUUGUGAGUAACUCAAAAUGCCUUUCUAUGCAUCCUGUCCUGCUGUAUUUUCAAUUUCAAGAAACAAUUUUAUUUAAAAUUGUCUUCCUUGUUAAAAAUCGUCAUCCAAAAUGUUAUAAGAAAAUAGUGCUCUUUUCUUAUAAUGCAAUUGUAUUUUAAUUUUAUUUCUAUUUCCAAGCCUGUGGAUAUGUAGUUGGAGAGGGCUGUGCCCUCCCAGAUCAAAGGGAAGGAGACUUGCAGCACUGCCAGCAUCUGUACAAGCAUGCAUAUUUCUAUAUCCUUAAGUGCAGGCACGCCUAUAGUUGUCUGCCUAAAAUUAUAGUAUACCUGAUAAGAGGGACGAAGAAACUUAGAUGUAGCAGGAAAACAAGUGGGGUAUGUAAGGCGGCGCUCCACUGCGCUCCACUGCACUCCGGGCUCAGCCUCUGGACACUAAUCUGCUGAGCCAGUGCUGGCACGAAUAAACUCUGCUUUCUGCUAAAAAGCCUUGGUGUCUGGUUUCUCUGCACUUAAGCCCUGCUUACACAUGAUAUUUGCUUUGCAAUAUUGCAUCAGUUAUCAAAAUGAAGAUUCUUUUUAAAUUUUAUUGGCGUAUAUUUGACUUACAAUCUUGUAUGUUUCAGGUGUAUAGCAAAGUGAAUCCAUGUAUCCAUCCUUUUUUCCAUACAGAUAAUAACCAUUGAGUAGCUUUCCCUGAGCUAUACAGUAGGUACUUGUUAGUUAUCUAUUUUAUAUAUAUUAGUGUGUAUGUGUUAAUCCCAUCCUUUGAUUUUAUCUCCCCCCAUGGUUUCCCCUUUGGUAACCCUAAAUUUGAUUUAAAAAAUCUGUGAGUUUGUUUCUAUUUUAUCAAGUUCGUUUGCAUCAUUUUUAUUAGAUUCUACAUAUGUGAUAUCAUAUGAUAUUUCUCUUUGAUUUACUUCACUAAAUAUGAUAAUUUCUAGGUUGAUCCAUGUUACUGCAAAUGGCAUUAUUCCAUUCUUCUUAUGGCUGAGAAAUAUUCCAGUGUGUAUGUACAACAUAUUCUUUAUCCAUUCCUCUGUCAGUGGACAUUUAGGUUGCUUCUACAUCUUGGCUAUUGUAAAUAAUGCUGCAGUGAACAUUGGGGUGCAGGCAUCUUUUUGAAUUAUGGUUUUCUCUAGAUACAUUCUUAGCAGUGGGAUUGCUGGAUCAUUUUGUGAUUCUAUAUUUAGUUUUGAAGGAACUUCCAUACUGUUCUCCAUAGUGGUUACACCAAUUUAUAUUCCCACCAACAGUAUGGGAGGGUUCCCUUUUCUCUAGACUCUUGCCAUCAUUUAUUGUCUGUAGACUUUAUGAUGAUGGCCAUUCUGACUGGUGUGAGGUGGUACCUCAUUUUACUUUUGGCUUGCAUUUCUCUAAUAAGCAGUGAUAUUGGGCAUCUUUUUGUGUGUUUUUUGGCCAUCUGUCUUCUUUGGAGAAACGUCUAUUUAGAUCUUCUGGCUAUUUAUCACUGGAGAUUUGAUAUUUCUGCAGAUGCUGCAAGGACAGGCCCAAGAGACAAAUGAGCAAGCCAGAACUCAGGUCCAGAAACUCAUGCAGAAUCCCUCCUCCCUCCCAAAGCUAUGGCUGCUGGCACUUUUUAUGCUGCUGUAGCCGGUGCUACUCCAAUCUGGUCUAAGAUCCUGACUUGGCAGUCCCCAUGGUGCCCUAAACUACCCGAAGGCAUUAGUUUAUGGGCAAUGCCACUGCUUGGCAUUCAUACUUUUCACCAUGUCCACAGGCUUGAGUCAGCAGGUACUGACUGCUCCUAGACCACUGCCAUGGGAGUAUCCUGCCAUACAGUGUGUCUCCUCUGCUAACACGCAAGCUCUUUGUUCCAUCAGACAUCACUUAACUCAAGGCCAAAUAAUUUUAAGAUGGUAAAAGCAAAGCAUUAAACACAGUAUGGGGCCCCUGUAAGCAUGAGAUCCAUGCAACUAGACACAUCAAAUGCCCCUGAAGCCAACUCUGAUAGUAGGUAAUAAAUGACAAGAUGGUUAUUGAUUUGGAAGUAGCAAAACUGAAAGAUUAGAUAAUACCGAAGUUUGGGGAGACGGUUUUAUCACAUUUAUUGCUCACCAGAGAGUUUUCACUGUAGAAAAGACUUUUAACAAAGAUUUGAUUAAACUAUCAAAGACGGCCAACUAUUUUUUUCAUUUUCCAAUCUUGUUCUUUCUGAUGGCAUGAAACCAAAGCAAUCGAGGGAGGAGGGAUUAGAGUGUUUGACAAAAUCAAGAACAUGAUCUUCUUCUUACCAUGUUCUUCCUGGAUUGAGUCCUAAUUUUCCAGGAACAAAUCCAAUGCUUAUUUCAUGGUUAGUCCCUGGGCCACCCACUUGUGUAAGAAAACUUAGGCUAGUCUGCCAUAGUCUGAGUAUUAAAAUAAGAUAAAACAGUAAAUUAGCUGCCCUCAAUACAGCAAGAAAUUGAUUCAUAUAGUAUUAUUCAGAUUUUGAAUGCUAUCAUAUUCUAUAUUUGAGAGGCAGAAAGCCUUUUCAGUGCUUAAAUCUUUUUCUCAAGGUCACACAAUUUAUAGGCAGUAGAACCUGGGCUUGAGCACAGAAUGUCUGACUUCAGAGCUGCAAUCAGAAUCUGUUUCUCAAUAUUCCCAAUACUACCUGUUCAUCUUUUAACCUUAAGAUUCACAUAACUACUCAUUCCUGC